rnacentral:rRNA from 1 species
AUUGAACGCUGGCGGCAUGCCUUACACAUGCAAGUCGAACGGCAGCACGGGAGCAAUCCUGGUGGCGAGUGGCGAACGGGUGAGUAAAGUAUCGGAACGUGCCAGUCGUGGGGGAUAACGUAGCGAAAGUUACGCUAAUACCGCAUACGAUCUAUGGAUGAAAGCGGGGGAUCGCAAGACCUCGCGCGAUUGGAGCGGCCGAUAUCAGAUUAGGUAGUUGGUGGGGUAAAGGCUCACCAAGCCGACGAUCUGUAGCUGGUCUGAGAGGACGACCAGCCACACUGGGACUGAGACACGGCCCAGACUCCUACGGGAGGCAGCAGAGGGGAAUUUUGGACAAUGAGCGAAAGCCUGAUCCAGCCAUGCCGCGUGCAGGAUGAAGGCCUUCGGGUUGUAAACUGCUUUUGUACGGAACGAAAAGGUUUGGGCUAAUAAGCUGAGCUCAUGACGGUACCGUAAGAAUAAGCACCGGCUAACUACGUGCCAGCAGCCGCGGUAA